UCUUCCCUCUCCGCUCCAGUGUCCAGUUCUCCCAUCUCCUAACAAGCAGGUGCCAUUGUAGAACUAUUCAAUGGAUUAUCCAUACCAGUUGGCCCAUCACAAAACCGCCAUUGGUGACCUCUGGAGCUUUUUCGCAGUAAUCACCCGCGAAGCUGUCCAGUUCUGCUCGAUUGAACUUCCUACUUUGAAUUCUUUGAUGAUAAACCACUCCUAAGUGCUAACAUGUAUACAUGGAAGCAGAUCGUGCCCACAUCGAAGCGGUUGAAUGAUGUCACAAAGUAUUGUCAAGCAUUGCGUAUUACUUUCAUGCAUUCAUUACCAAAUUUCUCAGCAGAAGUUCAUUCUCCGGAUCAGGAGGUAGUGCUUGCUUUGGCAAGCAAUGUGGGUGACAGACUCUGCAUAAUUUCAGUGAAGCCUUGCGGUUAAUGAGAAAAUCGGGCAUACACAUCACUAGACAUGGUU
rnacentral:sRNA from 1 species